rnacentral:rRNA from 1 species
GUGGAUUAGAUACCCUGGUAGUCCACGCCCUAAACGAUGCGAACUGGACGUUGGGCUCACUUUGGAGCUCAGUGUCGAAGCUAACGCGUUAAGUUCGCCGCCUGGGGAGUACGGUCGCAAGACUGAAACUCAAAGGAAUUGACGGGGGCCCGCACAAGCGGUGGAGUAUGUGGUUUAAUUCGAUGCAACGCGCAGAACCUUACCUGGCCUUGACAUGUCCGGAACCCUGCAGAGAUGCGGGGGUGCCUUCGGGAAUCGGAACACAGGUGCUGCACGGUGGUCGUCAGCU